GCCACAGAAACAGUGUGAGAAAGUAGAAAUAAGGAUUCUUGGAAUGUACAUCAGGGAAAUCCCACAGAAUGGGUAAAGCACAGUUCCCCCAAAGAAGGAAAGGGUGACAUCAUUGGGAGAAGCAGGAAAGAGAAGUUGGAUGAAUAAAACAGCAGCCUGUAACUGUCUAUCAGAGUGAGGGUUUGAGACUAUACAUAUGGACAGAUUUAGCUAAGAGAGCACCCAACUUAGGAAAUGACCCAGGGAAGUGGGGUGGAGCUGAGACAGGGCUUGGGGGAGGAAUAGAAUGGGGUGCUCAUUCCAGGUGGAUAGGAACUGGUGCAUCUCAGUGGGCAACAGCAUAGCGAAGAGACCGGUACAAGAGAACCCCAGGGCCGGCAUUGGAGAGCAGUGGCAUGGUAGAAAGCAACAUAUCACAUGCACACAUGAAAUGGAUUAUGACAGGAAAUUAGCAAACUACAGCCCUGCAAAGAGCUGCCUGGUUUUGCUGUACUGGAUCACAACCACCGUCUGUGCUCUUUAGCAUCACAACAGCAAAAGGAAACUCCCCUCCUGUGUGUAUCCUCCCCCUGAGGCUCUUUCUGAACCAGUUCCUCCAGGCAGAGUGAUUCCGUCCUUGAUGUGGGGACUGAGCUGAGCUUGGGGAUGAGGUUCUCUGCGAGCACUCUAGUCGGCUGCUCAUUCAUGACUGGGGAUCUCUUUUCUGCAAGAGGCUUCUUGCCAAAUAUUUCCUGAGAUCCUUCUCCGACAUUCCUCUUUAACAAGUCUUCCCCUUGCCCUGGUUGGGUUUUCGGCUGGUUAUCUGCAGAACAUUUGCUUGGUACUUGAGAAUAAAUUACCCACUUGACAGAAGAACCCA
rnacentral:lncRNA from 1 species